rnacentral:lncRNA from 10 species
CACUCACGGGAGCCAAGGGUAGUUUCUUUCUACCUAUCCACCCAUGAUUGUUUUCUAAGAAAGAAAGGAGAAAUCAAAGAAAUCACAGAAUUUGAACGCUGUAUAAAACCUAAUGUUUGUGGAGCAAUUGAAGAAAAAUAAACAGUGUGGUGAAGUAAACAGUUAACAAAAGGCUAGCAUAUGUUUACCUAGAAGAUGUGAAGAAUUGUUUCCAGAUUAAAUGGUUUGGAAUGAGAACCUCCACACCUUGAAUAUAAACUAAGAUUUGCCAACUGUGAGAAACAUUUAAAAUGCUAAUUACUUUAAAGGAUGAGAAACCUGGAAACAUGUUUUAGGGAAGAAAAGAACUGGAAGGACAAUGGGCACAUAUAAGCCAUGGUAUUGCACAGGUUCAGCAGAACAAUGGGCAAAAAAAAAAAUCAAAAAGAUUGGUCUACACGGAGACUUCCAGCAGCCCCCUCUCUGAGGCCGAGGAGUCUUGUUCAAAUACUGUCUGACUGAGAGAUAAUUAUGGGGGAAAUGCCAAUUCCACAUUUCAUAUCUCUGCACUUUAGUACUGUCAGAGCCCCACGGAGACGGGAUACGAAAGGAACAGUCUGACAGGCGAGGGAGGGGAGCCGUGCAGUCCUGGAACUGCGCCAGGCAAUGUGGAAGUCAUUGAGAUUUACCAGCAUCAUUUCCAUAAUCGUUUUUGGAUGCACAACAGCUGAAGAUUGUGCCUGGAUUCCCCUUUGCAAGCAUUCUGGAGUCACAACAUCGGCAUAGAAGGUGGCCAGCCUUCGGCUUUUGCAGUCGUUUGUGGAGUCUUUAUGGAAGAGCAGCGUGGUCAAGAGACCACGGCUGCGUAACCCCGUCUGCAGUAUGUGAGGCCGGAGUGCUGACCCUGGACCUGCCCAGUCAUGCCUUCUCGGUCAGCUGUUCAUCUCAUCUGCUACCACGUUUUGUGUAGAUGAACAACAAGCCUGGAAUCACGCGUGGGAAUGCCAGCCUCACAUGACAUAGAAGACAGAGAAGGAGGAGGCGGGCACAAGCGGGACCCCACAGCCAGCAGCCCCCUUCAGACUGCUGGGAGAUAGCCAAUGGUUUGCAGCAACCAAGUGAAAGCCCAGCUAGGACAGAGGCGACCAAGACCCUCGCUGCAGCCUCAACUGCCCUCCUUGGCGAGGUGGCUGCUCCCAUGCCUGGGGCAAAUACUUGGACUCAAGAGCAAGGAAUGUCCUGAAGACUUGCACAGGGAAAAGUAUUGGAGCUUGGAUUAAAUACAGAUUAACAACAACAACAACAACAACAAAAGCCAGGCUCAGAAAGACAGGGACAAAGAAACAGAAAGGAAGUUAAAAACAAACCACAGGACUGAGUUCCUUCAUUUCAGGGUCUAAUGAGGGCUGGCGGCCGUAGCCAUUCUAGAAUUCCCAACAUGGAGUUCCAAAUUUUCUAGAAACAAUGAAGAUCUAGUAUUUUCAAGCUUUUAUCAGCUUAUAUUACACUCUCAAUGAUAAUUUUUUUUAAUUCUUUAGUAGCACACCAACUAACACUAAAGUAAGCCACCUGGCCAAGCGUGGUGGCAUGUGCCUGUGGUCCCAGCUACUUGGGAGGCUGAGACGGGAGCAUCCCUUAAGCCCGGGAGGUCGACGCUGCAGUAAGCUGUGAUUGUACCACUGCACUGCAGCCUGGGUGACAGAGAGAUACCAUUUUAAAAAUAAAAAUAAAAAAAAUUAAGCUACUCAAUUUGCAGGAGAUCAUGCAAAGGUAGACAGAGCAGGCUGGUCACUGGAGCCCAGGGCAACCUGCAGACAGAUGCACCUGCAGACAGACUUUUGCUGGCAUCAUCUCCCACUCUUCCUCUGGCUGGUCCUUCCCCCUGAUGUUAUUUUUAAUGGUCCUGUGUAUUGUUGUGGAGGUCACCUCACAUGUUUUCCUAGUGUAGUGAGAAUACUAACCAAAGGCUGAAAAGAAAUCAAAUGCAAUGCCAGUUGAAAGACCUGAGACAGACACACAGGGAAUGCCUAGGUGCCUGACAGGGAGAGAAGCUCUCAGUGUGCCAUGGACCACGUGGAUGCUUAUCAAGGAGACCUGCUAACCCAGCUAAGAGAUAGUGGCCCAGCAGGUCUCAGAGGAAAGGACCCUUCUGGCCCCAGGUGGCUUGGGGUCCCUCAUCAGCACUCCCGUCACACCUCACAACCAGGGCCACCACACCAGGAAUUCGUGUGCAGAUUGUGUCUUGUGUCUGUCUUGAAGGCAUCUAAAGGCACUUGGAACUAUACCUUUUGUCUCCCCAACACUAACAAAAUCUGUGGCAUGUUGUAAAUACUUGGUGAAUGAAUUCCUAAAAGUUUGAAUCUGGACCUUCAAGGGAAGACAAUAUAUGGCUAUGCAGUAUUCAGAGGAUAACCAGGCAGGAAGAUCAUCAAGGUCUAGAAACACACCAAGAAGAGAGACUACGGCAUUUCAGUGCAGGCCAGGGGUGGCACUGGUCAAAGGCACAUGUGGAACUGUGUCAGGCUGAAUAGAUGAGCCGGCACCCAGCCAAGAAGCACCACUUCCGCCACGCCUCCUCUGGAAAUGGCACCCUACUUCAUUCAGGUGACAAAAUAUGGCCCUCACACUCGAAUACUGACCGUCACUCAAGGCACCUCUGUCCAGUUCUUCCAAAUCCAGAACAGUUUCAGCGAUAGCAGACAAAUCCACACAUAACAUGUUAUGUUUGAUUAUUCAGAGAUGAUCAUUUAAACAAUGAUGUCACUGCUAUCAAUGUAAGGCAUCCGGUGGAGAUGCCUGUCUUAGACACCCCUAAAUUUGACCAACCUUGACUUCCAAUUUGCCCGAGGGCAUGGAGGACAUUUGAGACAGCAUGCCCAAAAAAUCAAAGUGAAAUGUCCUCCACUAUUAUUCCAGGAACUUCUUCUGAAGCACCACUUGGGAAAUGCAGUCUCCUCCAAGGACAGCACUCACGCUGGUGUCAGCCACAUACUCCAGCUGUACCCGGGUUGAGGACCAGUGCAGACCCUCUCCCCUGCAUGCCACAUUCAGAAAGCAGAGGAGGCCUUGUGUAAGGUAUGACUACAAAAUAACACAACUCUCAGAAUCACUACAGAUACAGCAGCAUCCAAAGUCCUCAUCCCCCACGUUUUAAAUUCUCAAAAUAACCACUUAAAAUUUUGAAAUUGGCUGGGCAUGGUGGCUUAUGCCUGUAAUCCCAGCACUUUGGGAGGCCAAGGCAGGUAGAUCAUGAGAUCAAGAGAUCGAGACCAUCCUGGCCAACAUGGUGAAACCCUGUCUCUACUAAAAAUACAAAAAUUAGCUGGAUGUGGUGGCGUGCCCCUGUAGUCCCAGUUACUCGGAGGCUGAGGCAGAAUAGCUUGAACCCAGGAGGCAGAGGUUGCAGUGAGCCAACGUCGCACUACUGCACUCCAGUCUGGUGACAGAGCGAGAUUCCACCUCAAAAAAAAAAAUGCAAUGAACACAUGUCAUCCUGCCCAAGCCAAAAGAAAGAUGGGAGCUAUUUUCUCAGCUGGUAGCAUAAUUGUAUUAUUCGCAGAGGCACACUGAAGACUCAGUGUCAGCUCGGUGCAGUUAGAAAGAACGCUGACGGUGGCAAAGCUAAAUGGUCUUUGUCAGGCAUUCUCCAGCAUUCAAACGGGUAAUAUUCCAUAGCGUCUUUCACUAAGUCAGUUCAUGCAGGGAGGCAGAAGCAGGAGGCAGCGCUCUCAAAGUCACAGGCUCCAAGUGAGCCAUGCUGAAGUUUAGUUUCAUGGUCGAGGUUGCCAACUAGUAACUUUUAUUCAUACAAUUUUCAAGUUAAAAUCUUUAUUUCCAGCUAGGCGCGGUGGCUCAUGCCUGUAAUCCCAGCACUUUGGGAGGCCGAGGCAGGCAGAUCACGAGGUCAGGAGAUCAAGACCAUCCUGGCUAACGCGGUGAAUCCCCAUCUCUACUAAAAAUACAAAAACAAAAAAUUAGCCAGGUGUGGUGGCAGGCACCUGUAGUCCCAGCUACUCGGGAGGCUGAGGCAGGAGAAUGGUGUGAACCCGGGAGGCGGAGGUUGCAGUGAGCCGAGAUUGUGCCACUGCACUCCAGCUUGGGCCACAGAGCAAGGCUCCAUCUCAAAAAAAAAAAAAAAAUCCUCACUUCCACACUUUCCCACGGUGCCCUGGGAUCUUGGC